AGUGAACGCUGGCGGUAGGCCUAACACAUGCGAGUCGAACGGCAGCACAGUAAGAGCUUGCUCUUACGGGUGGCGAGUGGCGGACGGGUGAGGAAUACAUCGGAAUCUACUUUUUCGUGGGGGAUAACGUAGGGAAACUUACGCUAAUACCGCAUACGACCUACGGGUGAAAGCAGGGGAUCUUCGGACCUUGCGCGAUUGAAUGAGCCGAUGUCGGAUUAGCUAGUUGGCGGGGUAAAGGCCCACCAAGGCGACGAUCCGUAGCUGGUCUGAGAGGAUGAUCAGCCACACUGGAACUGAGACACGGUCCAGACUCCUACGGGAGGCAGCAGUGGGGAAUAUUGGACAAUGGGCGCAAGCCUGAUCCAGCCAUACCGCGUGGGUGAAGAAGGCCUUCGGGUUGUAAGGCCCUUUUGUUGGGAAAGAAAAGCAGCAGGUUAAUACCCCGCUGUUCUGACGGUACCCAAAGAAUAAGCACCGGCUAACUUCGUG
rnacentral:rRNA from 1 species